rnacentral:rRNA from 1 species
AGGACGAACGCUGGCGGCGUGCUUAACACAUGCAAGUGGAGCGACGAACCAGGGCUUGCCCUGGGGCAGAGCCGCGAACGGGUGAGUAACACGUGGGUUACCUACCCGAUGACCGGGACAACCCGAGGAAACUCGGGCUAAUACCGGAUGUGGUCUUCGGACGAAAGGAAGCUUCGGCCUCCGCAUCGGGAUGGGCCCGCGGCGCAUUAGCUUGUUGGUGGGGUAAUGGCCUACCAAGGCGACGAUGCGUAGCUGGUCUGAGAGGACGAUCAGCCACACUGGGACUGAGACACGGCCCAGACUCCUACGGGAGGCAGCAGUGGGAAUGUUCGCAAUGGGCGAAAGCCUGACGACGCAACGCGCGUGGAGGAUGAAGACCUUCGGUCGUAAACUCCUUUCGAUCGAGACGAAUGGCCCCCGGUCAAUAGCCGUGGGAGUGACGGUACCGAGAGAAGAAGCCCGGCUAACUCCGUGCCGCAGCCGC